rnacentral:rRNA from 1 species
GCAUAACGCGAAGAACCUUACCUGGGUUUGACAUAUACCGGAAACGUCAAGAGAUAGGCGCCCCCGCAAGGUCGGUAUACAGGUGGUGCAUGGCUGUCGUCAGCUCGUGUCGUGAGAUGUUGGGUUAAGUCCCGCAACGAGCGCAACCCUCGUCCAAUGUUGCCAGCGGAUAAUGCCGGGGACUCAUUGGAGACCGCCGGGGUCAACUCGGAGGAAGGUGGGGAUGACGUCAAGUCAUCAUGCCCCUUAUGUCCAGGGCUUCACGCAUGCUACAAUGGCCGGUACAAAGAGCUGCAAACCUGCAAGGGUGAGCGAAUCUCAAAAAGCCGGUCUCAGUUCGGAUUGGGGUCUGCAACUCGACCCCAUGAAGUAGGAGUCGCUAGUAAUCGCAGAUCAGCAACGCUGCGGUGAAUACGUUCCCGGGUCUUGUACACACCG